rnacentral:rRNA from 1 species
UACGGAGGGUGCAAACGUUGCUCGGAAUCAUUGGGCGUAAAGCGCACGUAGGCGGCCUGAUAAGUCGGGUGUGAAAGCCCUGGGCUCAACCCAGGAAGUGCACUCGAAACUGUCAGGCUUGAAUAUGGAAGAGGGUCGCGGAAUUCCCGGUGUAGAGGUGAAAUUCGUAGAUAUCGGGAGGAACACCAGUGGCGAAGGCGGCGACCUGGGCCAGUAUUGACGCUGAGGAGCGAAAGCGUGGGGAGCGAACAGG